rnacentral:misc_RNA from 1 species
UAAACAAACUCAUUCUGGCUGGAGAAAAACAAAAAUCUUUGAAAAAAAUAUUGCUUUGUAGUUGUGACGUUGCCGUUUUUGCUGAAGGUUCAAGAACUUUCUCGAAGCCUUGGAUUACUGUAUAAAAGAGAGAUUUGAAAAUCGAGUAAGCAUUUCAAGUUUAAACUGCGAGAGAAGACGUUUAUCGAACAGCAAGAAUCAAGAUGGCACUGUCUGUCAAGGCAUACUUGCUCAUUCUCAACUCCGACCAACAAGAAAUAAGGCGAUUUUCUAUCGACGAUGGAGCGUCGUCCAAUUUUGAUUACCUACUAACCAAGAUUAAAACGGUGUUUCCAGCCAUCAGAACUAAACAACUGCGCUUAUUUUGGAAAGACGAAGAUGGCGAGCUAGUGACAUUCAGCAGCGAUGAAGAACUAGUCGAAGCUCUUGGCAGCAUCCAGGGAGACGUGUUCCGUGUCUAUAUAAGGGUCAGAGAGGGUCAAGAAGACACCCAAGCAGAAAAUGGUCAGUCACCAUCAGAUGCAGAGCAUGUUGGCGUGGUUUGCGAUGGAUGCGACCAUGGCAUUUUUGGUACAAGGUUCAAGUGUGUUGUCUGUCCAGAUUAUGAUCUCUGCAUGAAGUGCGAACGAAAGAAUUUGCACAAAGAGCACGAGAUGUUCAGGAUAUGUACACCAAGAGCACGUCCAGGUUGCNCAGGAGCNUCCUUCCCAUUUUACUUUGCACCACCAUCAUUUGCCUACCAUACCCCAGGCUGCCCUCCAAAUCAUCCACCAGGAUUUGGUCCAUGGGGCCGUGGUCGUGGUGGCCACUUCAGAGGUGGUCCUUGGUCUGGUAGAGGACGAUGUGGUGGCCCAAGAGGUCGUUGCNGCAAAGCACCUGAGGCAAAAUGUGAACAACAUAAAGAGAAGACAACAGAUUCAAAUGAAGUCCCAGUUGGACCUCCUUUUCUUCAUGCUAUGGGAGAAGCUAUUGCCAAUUUCCUAGGACCCAUGGGAAUUGAAGUUCACACAUAUGCAGACACAGAGAAAGAUUGCUGUAAAGGAAAAUGUGGUUGUGAUCACAAAGAAGACAGGUCUGAAGAAACUGCAACAUCACAAGCAAGCACAAGUCAACAACCUGACAACAUGGAUCUCGACAGCCAAUCAACCUCUUCCACCCCCGAAAAGACAGAGGAAAAUCCGGGAACUGAAGAUUACGUCAUGGUUGACAAAGAAAAGCAAAAACAGACAGAAAAAACAGAUGCAGCUACAGGAACAGUCCCUGAACCUGAAGAUCCUCUGGAAGUAGCCAUUGCACAGAUGCAAGCUAUGGGUUUUGAAGACCAUGAUGGGUGGCUAUCACGACUCAUUGUUGCCAAAGAAUAUGACAUUGGCAAAGUGUUGGAUGCCAUCCAAUAUAACGACAAGAAGUAAUAUCACAGCACCCUCUGAACUUGCAACUUAUUUGAUGUGCUUGCUUUGGUCUAAUGGUGGAAAAUACUCUUCCCCCACAAAAUAGGAGAAAAAAAAAUAUGUUCAUGUUAAUAUAUUUAAUACUUUGCAUUGAUUUUUGAAAUAAUCAUCAGACAUAAUUGUAUUNUUCAGUGCUAUGCGAGCAGUGCCAAAUAAAAGAUUGAAAUUGAA